CCCUUAGAUGUUCUGGGCCGCACGCGCGCUACACUGACGGAUUCAACGAGCUUACAACCUUGGCCGAAAGGUCUGGGUAAUCUCCAAAAUCCGUCGUGAUGGGGAUAGAUUAUUGCAAUUAUUAAUCUUCAACGAGGAAUGCCUAGUAAGCGCAAGUCAUCAGCUUGCGUUGAUUACGUCCCUGCCCUUUGUACACACCGCCCGUCGCACCUACCGAUUGGAUGGUCCGGUGAAGCCUCGGGAUUGUGGUUCUUGCCGCUUUAUUGUGGCGUGACCGCGAGAACUUGUCUAAACCUUAUCAUCUAGAGGAAGGUGAAGUCGUAACA
rnacentral:rRNA from 1 species